GUAUGGAGACACGUAUGAAAACUUCUCUCUUUCCUCCCUUCAUCUCUCUUCUUCUACUCUCUCUCUAGGCUAAGGAAAGCUUGAGGAAAUUGGGGUUGGCAGCCUUGAGGAUUGCGGUUCAGGUGGAGGAGUUGAUCCGAACUGAAGAAGGGUUGAUGAGACUGAUGCGUUGAGUGAUUUCCUUGCUGGUCCGAGCUAAGAGGAACUUCCUAGCAGGGAAUUCCUGCUGCUGAACAACUGGUACAGUAUCUAACUAAGCUAAGAGCUUGGGCUUAAUGGAUGCUAUAGAGCAGGGAGUUCAGUGGAGAGAGCUUGGAAUUGGGGCAAGCAAAUUGCUUUUCAGCUGAGAUCAUAGUUGAUUGAAGUUGCUGAAUUAGAAAUCAGCAAAGGUGCUGACUUGGAAAUCAGCAUAAGGAAUUUUGAAACUAAGGUCGGCGACGCGCUAAUUACGGUAGAGACCGUUCUAGUUCUAUUUACACUGAGUCGCGAGAGCUAGUUGUCGACGCAUUUCGAGACGUGGAUUCUAGUUGUUGACACCACUACAGGUUCCAGUGCGAGCGGUGUGGCCGAGGAUCGUGGCAAGAGCCCCGCAGCUUAGCUAGCUGACACCAGAGUAUAGUAGUUUACCAUUUUGUGUUCAUGUGAGACAUUUUGAUGUA